CAUGAACACAAAUCUUUUUACGUGGAAAACUCCUCCGGUGUGAAGGAUAAAAACCACGGGACCUCUCCUCCGGUCCAAGGAAAUAAAGUUCACUAUCACAAAUAUUGUCUUACAACUUACAGCAAGCUACAACCAUCAAAAUAUGUAGCUAUACCACAAACAACCACAAAUAAAUGUGUGGGAACACAAUAGAGUGAUCACAAAAUACAGCUGCUGUUCUCAAUACAUUUAAAAAUGUUCUACUCAUCCAAAAAUUAAACUGAUCAGCCAGAAUCAAGAGUUGGAUGUUAGGAACAAGCUCACCAAAAAUCAGCUCAAUCCGACAAAGGAUGACUGCCGAAAACGCUGAAGAAGAUGAAGC
rnacentral:lncRNA from 1 species